rnacentral:tRNA from 1 species
GGCUGCAUAGCUCAAGAGGACAGAGCGGCAACCUCCUAAGUUGCGGAUAGCGGUUCGACUCCGCUUGAGGCCACAA